rnacentral:rRNA from 1 species
UUGCGGUUAAAAAGCUCGUAGUUGGAUUUCUGUUGAGGAUGACCGGUCCGCUCUUUGAGCGCGUAUCUGGUUCAGCCUUGGCAUCCUCUUGGGGAACGCUACUGUGCUUGAUUGCAUGGGGCGGUAUUCAAGACUUUUACUUUGAGGAAAUUAGAGUGUUCACUGCAAGCGUUAGCAAUUGAAUACAUUAGCAUGGAAUAAUAAUAUAGGACCUUGGUACUAUUUUGUUGGUUUCUAGAACUAAGGUAAUGAUUAAUAGGGACAAUUGGGGGCAUUCGUAUUAACGCGUCAGAGGUGGAAUUCUUAGAUUGCGUUACGACGAACUACUGCGAAAGCAUUUGCCAAGGAUGUUUUCAUUGAUCAAGAACGAAAGUAUGGGGAUCGAAGACGCUUAGAUACCGUCGUAGUCUAUACCAUAAACUAUGCCAACUAGAGAUUGGAGGUCGUUCUCUUUAUGACUCCUUCAGCACCUUAUGAGAAAUCAAAGUCUUUGGGUUCCGGGGGGAGUAUGGUCGCAAGGCUGAAACUUAAAGGAAUUGACGGAAAGGCACCACCAGGAGUGGAGCCUGCGGC